UACGUAGGGGGCAAGCGUUGUCCGGAUUUAUUGGGCGUAAAGAGCGUGUAGGCGGCCAGGUAGGUCUGCUGUGAAAACUCGGAGGCUUAACCUCGAGAUGUCGGCGGAAACCAUCUGGCUAGAGUCCGGAAGAGGAGAGUGGAAUUCCGUGGUGUAGCGGUGAAAUGCGCAGAUAUCAGGAAGAACACCCGUGGCGAAGGCGGCUCUCUGGGACGGUACUGACGCUGAGACGCGAAAGCGUGGGGAGCGAACAGG
rnacentral:rRNA from 1 species